rnacentral:lncRNA from 1 species
UUUACUAUUACUAAAGAUCAAUAAAAUGCAUUUUUUUCGUUCUUUAAAACUCUCUCACUGUAACUUCUAUGUUGUUUGCUAUUUAAAAUUUACUUAUAGUACAUCAGCAGGUCAUAAAAAUGUUAAUGUGGGUAGCUUGUUUUCGUGCCACAGUGCCAAUAUUGUGUGCAUGCACUUUGAUGUUUUUCUCAUUCCUUACAAAAAUAUAAAACUUUAUUUUCCUGUUUUUGUUGCAAUUACUGUUUAAUUUGCUUUUCUACAUAUCUGCUAAAACAAAAUGCUAAAACAGUGUAUUAAGCAAUAUUUUUAAUAACUUGAGG